AAUUUUCGGCAAUGGGCGAAAGCCUGACCGAGCAACGCCGCGUGAGGGAAGAAGGUCUUCGGAUCGUAAACCUUUGUCAUCGGGGACGAUGAUGACGGUACCCGAGGAGGAAGCCCCGGCUAACUACGUGCCAGCAGCCGCGGUAAUACGUAGGGGGCGAGCGUUGGCCGGAAUUACUGGGCGUAAAGGGCGCGUAGGCGGUCUAAUAAGUCAGAUGUGAAAUUCUUGGGCUUAACCCAGGAUGUGCAUUUGAAACUGUUGGACUUGAGGGCAGGAGAGGAAAGCGGAAUUCCCAGUGUAGCGGUGAAAUGCGUAGAUAUUGGGAGGAACACCAGUGGCGAAGGCGGCUUUCUGGACUGUACCUGACGCUGAGGCGCGAAAGCCAGGGGAGCGAACGGG
rnacentral:rRNA from 1 species